rnacentral:rRNA from 1 species
CAGUGGGGAAUCUUAGACAAUGGGCGCAAGCCUGAUCUAGCCAUGCCGCGUGAGCGAUGAAGGCCUUAGGGUUGUAAAGCUCUUUCAGUGGGAAGAUAAUGACUACCCNC